UACGGGGGGUGCAAGCGUUGUCCGGAAUUACUGGGCGUAAAGGGCUCGUAGGCGGUCUACUAAGUCAGACGUGAAAUCCCUCAGCUUAACUGAGGAACUGCGUCUGAUACUGGAUGGCUUGGAUUUGGGAGAGGGAUGCGGAAUUCCAGGUGUAGCGGUGAAAUGCGUAGAUAUCUGGAGGAACACCGGUGGCGAAGGCAGCAUCCUGGACCAAUAUUGACGCUGAGGAGCGAAAGCUAGGGGAGCAAACGGG
rnacentral:rRNA from 1 species